GUAGGAAAUGAAGCAAUGUCUACCACCAUUAUUAGCUUUAAACAGCGAAGGAAACACUUACGUUUUUGACGUGAAACCAUUCAAAUCCAGUUUGUGUAUUCAGGUGAAAGUAGCCCCACCUUGCAGACAAAAAUGUAAGCAUAGAUGGCUUCUUUAUCAACCAGUAUUGUUCAUUCUUUAGAUUAUCAAUCAAAUACAUAUCUAGCUAGAAAUAUGUAAGCCUUUGAAUUAUCACUUACGUUUUGUUUUAGCUUUUGUUACUGCCAUUUGUAGUAGACUAUAGUACUUUGUAUCUGAUCAUUAUUGCAGACGCUUCACUUCAACUAUGAUUAUAUUUCUAUUCGACCUUACAAAAGUCAAACUUUUCUUUCUUCAUAGGUGCUUAAGACACAUCAGGUAGCUAAUACUUCAACCGAUUGGCUAAGAUCUACAAUAGGAUUAAACGCAUAAGUAGUCUGAACCAAAUGAUUACAAAAAAUAAUUUCAAUAUUGAAAAUAGUUAUAUUAGAAAUAUUUAUUUUUAUUUUUAUUCCUUCUUACUUCUUUUGUGUUCAAUAAAUGUUUUGACAGGAAAAAAACAAAGAACAAUAUUUGAUUUCACUGGAGAUUAUUCAAACCCAUCAUAGCAAAAAAACUUCAAUGCAAUUUUCUCUUCUGUUAGACGGUGUAUCUGCGAUUGCGAGUAUAAAUAGGUUAGCUUGCUGUAAUUCUGUGACGCCGGGAAUGUCAAACGCGGCAGGGACAUCUUUCUCGCCGAUAAAAAGCUCCUCCAUCGCGGUUCGACUCCCUCUUGCGAUGUUCAUUGGAACCUGUCGCAACCUCCCUCCUGUGACGAUCAUUGAAUCUACACAAUGAUAGAUCUUCUUUGAAGCAAGUUUUAUAAAUCGAUUAUAUAGAUCUACACAAUUGAUUUCCAUUUGAUGAUUAUAUAGAACCUGUGUUGAAUCGAAAUGAGGCAAAUUGAUUAUACCGAAUCUGGGUUUAAUUCAAUUGAUUCAAUUUCGUAGCUGGGCUGAAUCAAAUUAAUGCAAAGAUUCUCAUCUUUAUAACAUUCUUUUGUUACUGUCAGACUAUAAUUUUUUUGUUUGUUUGAUAGAUUUGAGAAGAAGAAGAAAGGAACAACAAUGAGCUCUGAGCAAAACAACAGUACAAGCUUCCACCAAUAGAUGCGGUUUCUUCGGGUCUUCCAACAUGAACCUCUGUUCCAAAUGCUACAGAAGUAUCCGAGCCGAGGAAGAUCUAACCGCUGUAGCAAAAUCUGCUGUCAAGAACUCACUUAAGCUUCCAUCUUUCAGUCUCAUUGUCACACCAGAGCAAAAACAGCCUCUUGAAACCAGACCAGCCUCUGUUGUUGUAACCGCUGAGCCGUCAUCAGCUCCUAUAGCCACGGGACAUGAGGAGGCAGAGCCGUCGAAACCUGCACGGACGAACAUGUGUUUCAGCUCUAACAAGAAGGUUGGGGUUAUGGGGUUUAAGUGCAAAUGCGGUAGCUGAUGGUGGAAGUUUUCAAGGCUCCCAAGUCAAAUGAUAGUAUAGAAAGGUUGUCGAACUACAGAGAACUAGAGACUUAUGCACCAAGAAUACACAAACUCUCUUAAUCUAAGCAAACAGGAGAUGAAUGAUUUGUGACAAGCUAAUGAUGCGGGCAUCAAAUCCACUGCUCAUAAAGUAGACAAGACUUUCCAUGUUUGGACUCGGAUGAACCUAGACGACAUCAAGCCUAUGGUUCGUUUUAUUCAGCUGACUGUCCCCAAACAAAGGCCACCACUUAAGCCUCCUUAUCAGCUCCAAAAGAUCAGUCCAAAGGUAUUAAA